rnacentral:lncRNA from 1 species
GUGAGGGAAGCCCCAGGCUUGUUUGAUUCAAUUUUUGGCCACGAAGCAGUUUGGGGGGAGCCUUUUCUUCAGGACAGCCACAGGUGAGAGAGAGAGGACGAGGGACACAGAGCUCCUGACUCACAGUCCCCAGGUGUCCUAGUUACUUUUUCUCAUUGCUGAGAUGAAAUACCCAACUCACAAAGUUAAGGGAGGAAAGGUUUAGUUAGCUCUGUUUGUAGAGGUUUCAGUCCAUAAUCAGCUGGCUCCAUGGCAAGAGGGCAUCACAGAGGAGAAACAGUUCAUGGUGGGCAGUGGGCAGCAAAGUGACCAAGACACCUGCAAGUGACAACAGCAGUGUCUUUCUGCCCGUUUGAUAGCUCUACCUAAGCUACCUGGCUUAGGGUGGUACCAAACCAAUCAGUGGACUACUUCAUUAAUCACAUGCUCUCAAUCCUAGCGUCACACACUAGAUCCAGCCACCUCUGAAGAAGCCCCACCUAUGACUGCGUGAGGCUUUGGGGGGACAGCUAGACACAAGCAGAACACCAGGAUUCUCUGGGGGCCCCAUCCCCCCACUCUCAGGACCCAGCCCUGCAGCAGCCCACCCAGGAGGGCCUGAGGAUCAGCCACGCAGCCCCCAAAGUCAGGAAAACAGGCUGGCUACGGUGAGUGAGGGGCUCUGCUGGGGGAAGGGGUCCGGUGGCAGGGGCUGAGCUGUGAGG